rnacentral:RNase_P_RNA from 2 species
AGAGUAGUCCAAACGAUCGCUGGAUUUUUCAAAUCCGGAGGAAAGUCCGAACACCACAGGGCAGGGUGCUCCAUAACGUGGAGUCGCGGCAACGCGAAGGAAAGUGCAACAGAAAGUAUACAGUUAGGUAUCAGGUAAGGGUGAAAAGGUGCGGUAAGAGCGCACCAGUUCCUCGGGUGACCGGGGAAGCUUGGCAAACCCCACCCGGUGCAAGACCAAAUAGGGGAGCGUUUGAGGGUGGCCCGCCCAAGCUCCCGGGUAGGUCGCAAGAGGUGUCGGGUAACCGGCAUCCACAGAUGAAUGAUCGUUGCCUGGCGAUGGGAAACCUGAACCAGGAACAGGAUUCGGCUUAUGAACUGCUCUGGCC